CCUACGGGUGGCAGCAGUGGGGAAUAUUGGGCAAUGGAGGCAACUCUGACCCAGCAACGCCGCGUGAAUGAUGAAGGUCUUCGGAUUGUAAAGUUCUUUUCUAAGGGAAGAAGAAAGUGACGGUACCUUAGGAAUAAGCCUCGGCUAACUACGUGCCAGCAGCCGCGGUAAUACGUAGGAGGCAAGCGUUAUCCGGAAUUACUGGGUGUAAAGGGAGCGUAGACGGUAAUGCAAGUCUGGAGUGAAAGGCGGGGGCCCAACCCCCGGACUGCUCUGGAAACUGUGUAACUGGAGUGCAGGAGAGGCAGGCGGAAUUCCUAGUGUAGCGGUGAAAUGCGUAGAUAUUAGGAGGAACACCAGUGGCGAAGGCGGCCUGCUGGACUGUAACUGACAUUGAUGCUCGAAAGUGUGGGUAUCAAACAGGAUUAGAUACCCUUGUAGUC
rnacentral:rRNA from 1 species